UACGGAGGGGGCUAGCGUUGUUCGGAAUUAUUGGGCGUAAAGAGCUCGUAGGCGGUUUGUCGCGUCUGCUGUGAAAUCCCGAGGCUCAACCUCGGGUCUGCAGUGGGUACGGGCAGACUGGAGUGCGGUAGGGGGAGAAUGGAAUUCCUGGUGUAGCGGUGGAAUGCGCAGAUAUCAGGAGGAACACCGAUGGCGAAGGCAGUUCUCUGGGCCGUAACUGACGCUGAGGAGCGAAAGCGUGGGGAGCGAACAGG
rnacentral:rRNA from 1 species